GUCAAGUUGAGCCCAGAGGGGCAGAAAGUUGAUCAUUGUGCACACCAUGGAGAGAAACUUCUACUCUUCUGUCAGGAGGACGGGAAGGUCAUUUGCUGGCUUUGUGAGCGGUCUCAGGAGCACCGUGGUCACCACACGUUCCUCACAGAGGAGGUUGCCCGGGAGUACCAAGUGAAGCUCCAGGCAGCUCUGGAGAUGCUGAGGCAGAAGCAGCAGGAAGCUGAAGAGUUGGAAGCUGACAUCAGAGAAGAGAAAGCUUCCUGGAAGACUCAAAUACAGUAUGACAAAACCAACGUCUUGGCAGAUUUUGAGCAACUGAGAGACAUCCUGGACUGGGAGGAGAGCAAUGAGCUGCAAAACCUGGAGAAGGAGGAGGAAGACAUUCUGAAAAGCCUUACGAAGUCUGAAACUGAGAUGGUGCAGCAGACCCAGUCCGUGAGAGAGCUCAUCUCAGAUCUGGAGCGUCGGCUGCAGGGGUCAGUGAUGGAGCUGCUUCAGGUAAAAAGUGGAAAGAAGCCUGAGCACUGAGAUUAAAGAAAAGUGAAGGCUAUUUCCUUCUCUGCGUUGCUGUGCUUUUUCUAAUAUUAACAAUGUUCUCUGCAGGACCACUUUUCUGAAUCAAUUGCUGAAAUUAUAAGAAUAAUUGAAUGUAGAAGUAGCAAGAGAUAAUCCCAUUUUUAUUAAUUUAUCCAGAGCAGUAGAAAAAUUUGACGUAGUAGAGAUGAUCAAUUAGCUCUAGUCAUGUUUGAUAGGUUC
rnacentral:sRNA from 1 species